UACGUAGGGUGCAAGCGUUAAUCGGAAUUACUGGGCGUAAAGCGUGCGCAGGCGGUUGUGCAAGACCGAUGUGAAAUCCCCGGGCUUAACCUGGGAAUGGCAUUGGUGACUGCACGGCUAGAGUGUGUCAGAGGGGGGUAGAAUUCCACGUGUAGCAGUGAAAUGCGUAGAGAUGUGGAGGAAUAACGAUGGCGAAGGCAGCCCCCUGGGAUAACACUGACGCUCAUGCACGAAAGCGUGGGGAGCAAACAGG
rnacentral:rRNA from 1 species